rnacentral:snoRNA from 1 species
GUCUUGUCAAUGAUGUUACCAAGCAAAUGUCUGAACCAAUGACUUUCUAUGAUUCAAUUAUUUGUACUGAGACAAGAC